rnacentral:rRNA from 1 species
AUAUCAAUAAGCGGAGGAAAAGAAACCAACAGGGAUUGCCUCAGUAACGGCGAGUGAAGCGGCAAUAGCUCAAAUUUGAAAUCUGGCCUCUGGCCCGAAUUGUAAUUUGUAGAGGAUGCUUCGAGGAUGGUCCAGUCUAAGUUCCUUGGAACAGGACGUCAUAGAGGGUGAGAAUCCCGUAUGCGACUGGGUGCCUAAGCUCAUGUGAAGCUCCUUCGACGAGUCGAGUUGUUUGGGAAUGCAGCUCAAAAUGGGUGGUAAAUUUCAUCUAAAGCUAAAUACUGGCCAGAGACCGAUAGCGCACAAGUAGAGUGAUCGAAAGAUGAAAAGCACUUUGGAAAGAGAGUUAAACAGUACGUGAAAUUGUUGAAAGGGAAGCGCUUGCAACUAGACUUGCAUGCAGUCGAUCAUCCGAUGUUCUCACCGGUGCACUCGAUUGCAUUCAGGCCAGCAUCGGUUUCGGUGGUUAGAUAAAGGCCUUGGGAAUGUAGCUUCUCUCGGGGAGUGUUAUAGCCCAAGGUGCAAUGUAGCCUACCGGGACCGAGGACCGCGCUUCGGCUAGGAUGCUGGCGUAAUGGUUGUAAGCGA